AAAGUCGUAACAAGGUUUCCGUAGGUGAACCUGCGGAAGGAUCAUUAUUGAAAACAUUGUAAAGGAGAGUUGAGCUGGUCCUUCUAGGGCAAGUGCUUGCUUUUCUUUCAAUCUUCAUCCACCUGUGCACCUUUUGUAGAGAGUUUUGACAACAAGAGCCUCCGGGCUCUCUAGUAAUUGAGGCUCUCUAUGUCUUUACACACUCUAAAUGUAUGUCAUUGAAUGUCUUUUAUAAGGAACUUAAUUGUACCUUUAAAAACUAUACAACUUUCAGCAACGGAUCUCUUGGCUCUC
rnacentral:misc_RNA from 1 species